AGAGUUUGAUCCUGGCUCAGAGUGAACGCUGGCGGCAGGCCUAACAACAUGCAAGUCGAACGGCAGCACAGAGGAGCUUGCUCCUUGGGUGGCGAGUGGCGGACGGGUGAGGAAUACGUCGGAAUCUGCCUAUUUGUGGGGGAUAACGUAGGGAAACUUACGCUAAUACCGCAUACGACCUACGGGUGAAAGUGGGGGACCGCAAGGCCUCACGCAGAUAGAUGAGCCGACGUCGGAUUAGCUAGUUGGCGGGGUAAAGGCCCACCAAGGCGACGAUCCGUAGCUGGUCUGAGAGGAUGAUCAGCCUCACUGGAACUGAGACACGGUCCAGACUCCUACGGGAGGCAGCAGUGGGGAAUAUUGGACAAUGGGCGCAAGCCUGAUCCAGCCAUGCCGCGUGUGUGAAGAAGGCCUUCGGGUUGUAAAGCACUUUUGUCCGGAAAGAAAAGCUUAGGGUUAAUAACCCUGAGUCAUGACGGUACCGGAAGAAUAAGCACCGGCUAACUUCGUGCCAGCAGCCGCGGUAAUACGAAGGGUGCAAGCGUUACUCGGAAUUACUGGGCGUAAAGCGUGCGUAGGUGGUUUGUUAAGUCUGAUGUGAAAGCCCUGGGCUCAACCUGGGAAUGGCAUUGGAAACUGGCUUACUAGAGUGCGGUAGAGGGUAGCGGAAUUCCCGGUGUAGCAGUGAAAUGCGUAGAUAUCGGGAGGAACAUCCGUGGCGAAGGCGGCUACCUGGACCAGCACUGACACUGAGGCACGAAAGCGUGGGGAGCAAACAGGAUUAGAUACCCUGGUAGUCCACGCCCUAAACGAUGCGAACUGGAUGUUGGGGGCAACUUGGCCCUCAGUAUCGGAGCUAACGCGUUAAGUUCGCCGCCUGGGAAGUACGGUCGCAAGACUGAAACUUAAAUGAAUUGACGGGGGC
rnacentral:rRNA from 1 species